UACGGAGGGUGCAAGCGUUAUCCGGAUUCACUGGGUUUAAAGGGUGCGUAGGCGGGUUGGUAAGUCCGUGGUGAAAUCUCCAAGCUUAACUCGGAAACUGCCGUUGAUACUAUCUGUCUUGAAUACCGUGGAGGUGAGCGGAAUAUGUCAUGUAGCGGUGAAAUGCUUAGAUAUGACAUAGAACACCAAUUGCGAAGGCAGCUCGCUACACGAAUAUUGACUCUGAGGCACGAAAGCGUGGGGAUCAAACAGG
rnacentral:rRNA from 1 species